ensembl:misc_RNA Metazoa_SRP Metazoan signal recognition particle RNA
GCCGGGCAUGGUGGCACAUGCCUGUAAUCCCAGCUACUAGGGAGCCUGAGGCAGGAGAAUCGCUUGAACCCAGGAGGCGGAGGUUGCAGUGAGCCGAGAUCGGGCCACUGCACUCUAGCCUGGGCAACAGAGCGAGACUCUGUCUCAA